UAAGUAGAACAGGCGAUCGCAGCCACGAAAUGUGGGUGAGGAAAGUCCGGGCUUCACAGGGCAGGAUGCCGGAUAACGUCCGGUGGAGGCGACUCCAAGGCCAGUGCAACAGAAAUAUACCGCCUCUUUCAGGAAUGAAAGACAGAAAAUUGCGAAGCAAUUUUCGUGCCGUUCGCUGUUCUUCAGCGAACUGCAGGUAAGGGUGGAAAGGCAGCUUAAGAGACUACCGUCCGUCUGGUAACAGGCGGAGCCAUGUAAAC
rnacentral:RNase_P_RNA from 1 species